UAUCAAAGGUGCAGAAUCUGGGACAAGUUGCAUGAAGAGCAUAUCAAUGCAGGACGUACAGUUCAGCAACUCCGAUCCAAUAUCCGAGAAAUUGAGAAACUUUGUUUGAAAGUCCGAAAGGAUGACCUAGUACUUCUGAAAAGAAUGAUAGAUCCUGUUAAAGAAGAAGCAUCAGCAGCAACAGCAGAAUUUCUCCAACUCCAUUUGGAAUCUGUAGAAGAACUUAAGAAGCAAUUUAAUGAUGAAGAAACUUUGCUACAGCCUCCUUUGACCAGAUCUAUGACUGUUGGUGGAAGCUGAUUGGUAUAUAAAAAAAAAGUUCGGCAGAUUUUGAAGAAGUAU
rnacentral:sRNA from 1 species